ACCCAAAGGGGUUUCUAAAGGAAGCCUUUGAGCUGGUGCGAGCAAGGGGAGGCGUGUGCAUUGCAGAUGAAGUGCAGACAGGAUUUGGAAGGUUGGGCUCUCACUUCUGGGGCUUCCAAACCCACGAUGUCCUGCCUGACAUUGUCACCAUGGCUAAAGGGAUUGGGAAUGGCUUUCCCAUGGCAGCAGUCAUAACCACUCCAGAGAUUGCCAAAUCUUUGGCGAAACGCCUGCAGCACUUCAACACCUUUGGAGGGAACCCCAUGGCCUGUGCCAUUGGAUCUGCUGUGCUUGAGGUUGGUUCCAGCGGCCACAUUAAUCUCACUCAUUUCACAAAUGACUCUUUCAAAACCACACACGCAUUAGCAGAACUCUAUCAUGCUGAGUUGUUAAAGGGGAGAGUUAAUUCAUAGUUUAUCCAUUAAAGUUAGAUUUCCAUUUAUUAUUCUGCCUUCUCCCUUUUUAAAGACCUACUUUGGGUGCUGAAAGUAUUGGAUAAGAAAUAAUAUAUAAUAAACCUCACAUACAUGGGAAAUAUAAGAAUUUUCCUAGCCAGCUGAAAUUUCUUUGUUAUCUGGGUAGUGAUUUAUAGAUGUUAACUGCUAUCCUUGUAAUUAGUUUCAUGUUGGCCUUCUCUUGUGUAUUUUUUCUCCUUCCUUUUGUUGUACUAUUAUAAAUUGAAUGACUAAGGAGACACUGAGUUCUACGUGCUUACAGCAAGGUAAUUCAGCUGUUCAACCCUACACCAUUGAUUUAGCCUGGGAUCGCAUCUGUUUAAAAAAAGAUUUUUUUUAAUGUUCUUGUUAACACGCCUAAUAUCAUUUGCUUAAAGAACUGUAACAAAUUUCUGGA
rnacentral:sRNA from 1 species